rnacentral:tRNA from 1 species
GGAGUGAUAGCUCAGUGGUGAAGAGCAUUGGCUGCAAUUCCAAGCACCCACAUGCCACCUGUCUGUUACUCCA